CAAAAAUUAAAUAUUUACACUGCCUAACUCUACUCUUCUGCCUCUCUAAUAUUGACUAAAAUUCCACGAUGAUAACUAUAGGUAGUCUCAUAGGUGCGCGCGGUGGCCCUACUAUCGGAAAUGUUUACAAACGCCCUGUCAAUAUGCGUAUCGCAAUUGGUAGUGGACGAGUCCAAACCUAACAAUGACCUAAAAUUCCUUUCGGAAAGGAAUUCAUAAAUUUCCAUACAGCAACCUGAAAUUGAACGCAGACAUAAAUUAAAAUCUCCUAACACCAAAGAAUUGCUACCUAAAAACUGAUUAAGCUGAACUAAGUCCUCAAAUUCUUGCUUGAACUUCGACAACGGAUAGCUUGGGGUUCUAUAAAUAGCAAUAAGUCCGACAGAUUUGUACUUCAACAAGGCUCAACUACUACUACUACUACUUCAACUACUCAAACACUGAAGAUGCAAUGUUUCCGGAAACAGCAUAAAAUCGAUUAGUUUCAACCAUUCUAAAAUGAGCUAAAAGUUCAUUCCUAACAAAUAUUAGAAUGCCUCUUUUCGGUCUAGCUCCGCUGGCUACGGACUGGCAAUCUAACCGCACUGCUGUGGAAUAGCCAGGAAUUUUAUAAGCAUCAUUUGAGUAAGUGGAAGCCUCACGAAGCACAAAAUUGAAGAUUUGAGCAUUAGCUCAUCAGAACAGACAUCGCUAAGAAAAUAUUAAACUCGGACGGAUUGAGUAAACAAUCGAAGUGGGUGUGAAGUAACUUAGUGGAACGUAAGUUCUCCUUCUCUCUCGCGACAAGACAAUUCUGCUUGGGCCUGAGGGGAAUGAAAGUCCAACAAUAUAAAGUCCAUUCGCACUGGUGGCCCUACUGCAAGCCACAUACAAUGUGUACGAUUUAGAUUUAAACAUCAAACCGUAUGGCUAGACCUAAAUUUAUGUUUGUUAUUAGGUAUUAAGAAUUCUUAGCAACCUAAAUAAAUAUUCUCAAAUGAACCCAAUAAAUAAAAAUAAAAUAAAUGAGAUAUGCACCGCUGACCUAAAUAAAUAUUCAACAGACAGCUGGAUGCACAUGUAUGCACAUGCAUGAUAAUCGCUUUACGACAGUC
rnacentral:lncRNA from 1 species